CAGAGUAGGACGGUGUGCGUCAAGUGCUGCGCGGACGGGGAGUUUGCCGCGCGGACGAAAAGGGGAACCCCCUUGCGGUACACGGUCCGCAUCCCGCUGU
rnacentral:ncRNA from 1 species